CAUGCUUAAACAUUCAUAAUACAAAUUUGAACCAUUUUAUCAAAAAAAUAUUCAGGAAUUAAAGUUGAACUACACAUAUAAAGGGAACUUCAAAUUUAAACUAAAUGGAUUUUCAACUAAAUUACGACUAUAAUAAGAAAUAAAAUUACAUAGUCCUGACUGAUUGAGUUAACUACACUUGAUGAAAUGCUAUAAUAACUGUAACCUUCGAUUUCAUCCACAACGCUUGUCAAUUUGACGAACAAUAGCUUACAACAUUUCAAAAUGGCUUGAUUUGGGUUUGAGACUCACAGAUCUGGCCUAUUGAUGGCCAGACCCAUAAGUUGAAGCCAUGACAUAACAUUAUCAGUCCUUCACAAAUAGCUUGACAUGUUGUCUUAACAAACCAUUAGGAAGUCUAUAGAUUAGAAUUCAUGAUCAACAAAUUAUGAUGUGGAGAUGCCAAUAAUAGAAACUAAUAGUAAUACAUGUGCUUAAGGACAUUCAUAACAGCAGCAAACAGGUCAGAGGUGAGCGAAUGCCAAUUCAAGCCAUUCAAAUACUUAGAACAUUGCAUAAGAAGAUAUAUAACAUCAUGUAAGCACAACGACCAUCUGAAUUUCACAGAUUUCAAGCUCAAAUUGAUUGUGCUAAGCUCAGAAUCAUACAAAGUUAUCAAUGUGUACCUUAAAGCAGCAAAAGUAAGUAGAAGAGAAAAUAAGUCUCUGAAAUUCUGAGAAGAAACAGCAGCAAGAACACAAAGCAGAAAAACCAAAACCACAGCAGCCUCAAACUCAGACCAUGAAUCCCAGCAAAAGAACAUUGGGAAAUGAAAAGAAACACAGCCUGGAUUUUUUUUCUUUUGUUUUCUAGCUUUAAACUUAAAAAGAAGAUCAGAUUGAAAAAUGAGGAGAAAGAGUCUUGGAAUAUUUUUUUCAGGGCUCUCUUGCGCGUCCGAAAAUUCCUGUUUUAGAAUGCAGAAUGAGUCCUAUUAUAUAGGCUGUGUGUGUGUAAUCAGAGAGAAUGAGAGAGAGUCCCCAAAAAAAAUAGAAUUUGUCAGGCCCUCACUAAAAUUUAGGAAAAUAGCAUCUUUCAAAACUGAAUUUGGACAAUUGUCCUUGUUUCUAGAUGGUUCUUUUUAUUUCUUACCAUUUAACUUCUGAAAAUUAUUUCUUGUGACCCCAACUUGAAAUGAACUCUGAUUUUUAAAAAAAAAUGCAUUUUAGUCCCUUCUAGAGACUUCCCCAACAAACAAAUCAGAUUCCCUAAUUUUCCAAAUCCCUUUGACCCCUUUAACUCCUAUUAAUUACACAUGAGUCAUAGCAGAAAGAAAUCAUGUAAAUCAGUCCCAAUAAACAAAGAAGCAAAAUUAAUCUAAUUAACUCAAUAAUUAAGACUAAUUAGCAUGCAAUUGAGCUGUUAAAAUCACAUAAACCCUUAAAACAAAACAGACAUGUUGCGCCUUAAAACAAAUAGCCAAAAUGUUAAUUUACUGUUAAUUAACUAAUUACUAAGCUAAACUAAUUAAACUGAGAUAAACGUUCAUCAAACAAGUUCUGAUUAAACACCUAAAACACAUUGUUCUUCUCUCUUUUUUUUUAAUCUUUCUUAAAGCAAACAAAAUAACAAAACAAGAUAAAGAGGGCAAGGAUGUACCUAGUAAAGAAAAACAAAACUACCCAUCUUGAAGCGAAACAAGAGGCUCGACCGGAUUCCGAUGAUUCCGUAAUAAACUAAAGCUUACAUUAAUUAAUUGUUCUUGACAAGAACAAAUAAUUAAUGUUAGUUUCAACUCAAAACAGCUUGAACUUGAUGAAGGAAUCGGAAAGAACUAAAUUAGGUUUUCUGGCCGAUUUUAGAUCUAAAAUUCGAGGAUUUUGAGUGGUGUUUUAGGAAAAUUGAAGGUAGAUUUGGAUUGAGGAUGAAGUGAGGAGUGUGGGGUGUGAAUUUGGGCGGAUUUGGAGGUCGUUUGGUGGUGCCAAGAUGGCGACCGCUGGUGGAGGUUUGUGGGAGUUUGGGGGCGGCUAGGGUUAGGCUGAGGGAGAGAGAUGGAGAAGUGAGAGGGAUCUGAGGGGUUUGGAAGAGGGGGGGGGGUCUCCGACAGAUAUAGGGGAUUGGAGAGUGGAGUUGUGGGUCGUUCGAUCAAAGGAAAUCAACGGCUAAGAUCGACGUUACGAAAACGACGUCGUUUUGGUUUAGUGAGGAAUCUGGACCGGAUUGGGGAGGCGUUGGACCUGGGCCGCGUGAGUUUGAGGGGAAUCUUAGCAGUUGGGCUUCCUUGAGAAUGGUCCAAUACAAAUACAACCCCUUUUCUUUCUUUGUUUUUCUCUUUCUUUUCCUUUAAUUUAAAGUUCUAAUCAAAUUAAUUAAAAACUAAAUUAAAUCCUAAUUUAAAUCUAAUUUGUAGAAAUAAACUUAGUUAUCUAUUUUACUAUUUAAAUAAUUAAUUAAUUUAAACUAAUGAAAGCAAAAUUACUAAUUUGCAAUUAAGAGCUAAAAUGUAAAAAUGACCCAUAUUUUUUGUGAUUUUUCGUUUAAUAAUGCAAUUAACUCAUGUAAUUAAAUAAUAAUAUGCAAUUAAAUCUAAGAUGCUAUGCAAUGAAUAUUUUAUAUAUUUAUGGUAUUUUUUAUAAUUUUAAAUAUUAAAUAAGUAACUAAAUGCAGACAAAAUUAACCAAAAAAUCCUAAAAUUCAAUAAAAACGAAAAUAAUUUAGAAAGAUCUACUUUUGAACUUUGUAGGAGUAAUUUUAGGAAGACAAAAAUCAGGUGCUCACAACUGCCCCUCUUUGCUCCGAAACACGAAGAGUUUUUGGGCAAAGAUAAAGUGAGCAAAUACGAGCAAUUUUUUGUCCUUUUGGAUACUCCAUGGGAAGCGUUAUUAAAAAGUCUGACUGAACCUUGCUUCGGAGGUUGUCUACAUAUUCUUGGCUAUAAAGGAAUCAAGUCAGUGUAGUUCUGAAAGUUUUAGUAGCUGGGACUACCGAGAAGCUGUGAUUUCACUGUUGUUGCUGUUGUUACUGCUUGCUGACCUCAUUAUUAUACCAAAAUCAAAAUGAAAAAAAACUAAGCAAGUCUAUCAGCUAUGAGUUACAAGAUUCCUAUCUAUAUGUGAUGACCCAAAAUGUCAUCUUUUUUUAAUGAUUAAUUUUGUGUUCUAAGACCUCGAAAAUAAAAAUACUAUUUAUCAUUACUCGACUUGCGUGCGCAGUUCGUAAAAUUUUUCAGAAAGUUUUUAUGUGAAAAUGGAUUAAAAUAUGAAUUAGAGCUUUAAAACUCAACUGAGUUGACUUUGGUCAAUAUUUUGAGCAAACGAACUCGGAUCAGUAUUUUGAUAAUUCCGGUAGGUCCGUAUCGUGAAUUGGGACUUAGGCGUAUGCCCGGAAUUAAAUUCUGAGGUUCCUAGCCCGAGAUAUGGAAGUCCGUAGUGGAAUUAGGCUUGAAAUUUCGAAAGUUGAAUUUUAAGAAAGUUUGACCGAGGGGGCUGACUUUUUGAUAUUGGGAUCGAAAUCUGAUUCUGAAAAUUUUCAUAGCUCCGUUAUGUCAUUUAUGACUUGCGUGCAAAAUUUGAGGUCAAUCGGACUUGAUUUGCUAGGUUCCGGUGUUGUUUGUAGAAAUUAAAAGUUUCAAUAUUCAUUAGGCUUGAAUCUAUGUGUGAUUCAUAUUUUUAGUGUUGUUGGAUGUGAUCUGAAGAUUCGACUAAGUUCAUAUGGUGUUUUAGAACUUGUUGGUAUAUUUGGUUGAGGUCCCGAGGGCCUCGGGUGUGUUUCGGAUGCUCAACGGGUCAUUUUUGGACUUAGAGAAGUAGCAGAUUUUUCUGGUUUUUGUUGCAGAAGAUUGUUCUUCGCGUUCGCGAACGUGUGGUCAGUGGAAGCAUCACGAAAGCGAGGAGUAGGACGCGUUCGCGAAGAGUGUUUUCUGAGUGUGAGGUUUUGUUCUUCGCGUUCGCGAAGGGGAGGACGCGAACGCAAAGGUAUGGUCUGUGUGUGCAUCGCGAACACGUGAGUGGCGUCGCGUUCGCGAAGGAGAGCGAGGCAAGGAUCGCGUUCGCGAAGAAGAAACCACUGGACAGAAUGUUUAAGUUCAAAAAUGGGACUUCGUCCCAUUUUUCAUUUUUAACGAUUUGGAGCUCGGAUUGUGGCGAUUUUUGAGAGAUUUUCAGAUAAAACGUUGGGGUAAGUGUUCUUAACUCAAUCUUUGUUAGAUUACCCGAAUCUAUCACUGUUUUUAACAAUUAAUUGGUGAUUUAAGUUGAAAAAAAUUCGAAAACCCUCUUGGAUAGAUUUGAGGAUUUGAGGGUCGAACUGUUAUUGGAAUUUAGUCAUUUUGGUAUGAUUAGGCUCGUGGUUGAAUGGGCGUUCAUAUUUCGUAACUUUCGUCGAAUUCCGAGACAUGGGCCCCAUGGGCCAUUUUUGAGUUAAUUUCGGAUUUUUAUUGAAAAUGUAAUAUUUUCUUAUAGAAUUAAUUCUAUAAUUUUUGUUGACUGUAUCAAAUUAUUUAUGACUAGAUACGAGUCGACCGGAAUCGAAAAAUCGAGGAAAAGGCAUAUUACUUGAUUAAAUUGGAGCAAGUCGAGGUAAGUGACUUGUCUAACCUUGUGUGGGAGAAAUUCCCCUAGGAUUGGUAUUAAAUGUAAUGUGAUGAAAGUCGUGUACACGAGGUGACGAGUGUGUACACGGACUAAAUGUGAAGGAUUAUGUGUUCAAAUAAUGAAGAUCUUUGUUGCAUAUUAAUUAAAUUAUUAAAUCUUGAUAUAUUCUCCAUUAUUGAUUUGAUUUGUAUACCUUAAAUUUGCUUGACUUUUUCCUGCUAAUUGUUUUACCUGUUUAAUUGAAACUUGGUUUCUUUUAUAUUGUGCAUUAUUUGAAGGUUAAUUUUCUUUAAAUUAAAUAUUAUUAAUAUGAAGUAUUUGACAUUUCUAAAUUUGAUAUUGAAGCAACGUAUUAAAGAUUUUGAAAUAUUAUUUUUCUGAAUUAUUUAUUCCUGAAUAUUUCGUAAGAUUUUUGAAUUAUUUUGGUAUGAGCCGUGAGCUCUUUAUUAUUGAAAAAUAUUGUUGAUGAUUUAUUUUUGAAAAAAUUAAAAUAUUGGGCACUUGAGGUGCAGAUUGUGAUAUAUUGUGAUAUUGAUAUGCAUGCGGUGGUAUAAGGUCUGGGUAUUGAAACGCAUGCGGUAAGAUAUGGGUGGCUUGAUACGCGUGGCUAGUAGGGGUGACUACUAGAAUUCAUGCGGUGUGAUUAGGGUGGCUAAAAUGCGGGAUGCUAUUUCGAAAAAAAUAUUUUAUUUAAAUGAAUUGUGAAGGCUCCCGCGGUGAUAUAAGAAAAUGAGAUAUUGUGAAUUUAUUUAUGAUUUGGGACUACGAGGCGGUACCUCGGUAGUGCCCUUGUUGAUAUUGAUUUAUGGCCAUAGUUGCCUUCGAUUAAUUGUUGUGAUUUUCAUAAAGUUAAAAGGAAUUCUGUUUUGAUUCCACGAGAUAUUAUUUGCAAUUAUUUGGUGUCAUUAAAUGUAACAUACUAUUUGAUUCAUUUCCAUCGUCAUUUUAUCUUAUUAAAUUGUUUAAACAUUUUUUCCAUGUCAUUAUCUAUUCUCCAGUAGGGCCUGACCUGACCUCGUCACUACUCUACUGAGGUUAGGCUUGGCACUUAUUGGGUACCGCUGUGAUGUAUUCAUACUACGCUUCUGCACAACCUUUUGUGCAGAUCCAAGUACAUCUUACCAGUCUAGACGUCAGUGAGUUACCUGCACACGGAGACUUCGAGGUAUAUCUGCCAGCGUCCGCAGACUCCGGAGUCCCCUUCUGUCAUUUUAUGUUGCUUUCUUAUUUUUCUUUAGACCUUGAUACAUAGCAACAUUGAGAAUAAAUUUUUAAAAGCUUGUGACUGAUUUCUACCGGGUUUUGGGAGUUGUAAUUAUUUGAAUUGUAGUUUAUUUAUUUCAGAUAUUUAUGAUUAUUCCGCAUUAAUAGGCUUACCUAGUCUUAGAGACUCGGUGCCAUCACGACCUCCCACGGAGGGAAUUUGGGGUCGUGACCCUAUAGGUCUUCAGAAACUUGAUUUUGAAUCUUCUACAGUUCUGUUGUGCAUCUCGAAUUGUCGACUCGCAUUUUUGAGGCGAGCUUCUGCUACCUCUAACUUGAAUUGACCCUAUUCUUCAGGCGGGCUCCUACUACUGUCUUAAAGGUUGAAGUUAAUUCUGAAGUGACUUCCCUCGUUUUUCAGGUGGGUGCCUGAUGCUGACUUAAAAAUUAAAAUAAAUUCCCUCGUUCUCCAGGUGAGCGCCUGAUGCUGACUUAAAACUUGAAAUAAUUUCCCUCAUUUUUCAGGUGGGCGCAUGAUGCUGACUUAAAAUUGAAAUUUUCAGGUGGGCGCCUGAUAAUUACUUGCACUUGAAAUAAGUUCCCCCAUUCUCUAGGUGGGCGCAUGAUGCUGACUUAAAACUUGAAAUAAUUUUCCUCAUUUUCCAGGUGGGCGCCUGCCAAUGACUUGAACUCGAAAUAAAUUCCCUCAUUUUUCAGAUGGGCGCCUGCUCAUGACUUGAACUGAAAUGAAUUCCCUCAUUUUCCAGGUGGGCGCCUGCUCAUGUCUUGAACUUGAAAUAAACUCCCUCAUUCUCCAGGUGGGCGCCUGCCAAUGACUUAAAACUUGAAAUAGAUUCCCUCAUUCUCCAGUUGGGCGUCUGCUGACUCAAAACUUGAAAUAAAUUCCCUCGCUUUCCAGGUGGGUUCCUAAUGUUGACUUAACAUUUGAAAUGAAUUCCCUCGUUGUCCAUGUGGGCGCCUGCUCAUGACUUGAACUUGAAAUAAACUCACUCAUUCUCCAGGUAGGGCGCCUGCGCUGACUUAAAACUUGAAAUGAAUUCCCUCAUUCUCCAGGUGGGCGCCUACAAUCACAUUAACACAGACAAAACAAAGAAACUUUUUUGCCCCAGUUCGUACCAGGAACCUUCAUUGAGUGUUAGUUGAAUCCCAUUAUCCAGGAGGGUCCUGAAAAUUAAAAACUAGAUCCCAUUGUCUAGGAGGAUCCUGAAAAUCUGAACUUAUCUGGAACAUGCUUUCCUCAUGGAGUAUCCCUAUACAGCAAACACAAUUUGUUACCCAUGUUUCACUCAAAGAAAAUUUCGUCAGUUUUAAAAUGUGGUGGUUAGUUUGUGGCAUCCUUGUUGAAGGUAUCUUCUUCUGCCGCUACCACGCUUAAUUCUGAUUAGCUGCUUCGGCUAACAAAGAAUUGUUUGACAUUUUUGAUCGAUCCUUGACCACAAAAAACCUCUGAAUCUGAAUCCCUUACACUCAACUUGUUAUAUGGUACUUUUAUUUUGACAAUUGUUGAACCUUUGCAUUUCCUUAAAAUUCACGAAUCACUUGACCACCUGAACUUCAAUUACCGCCACAUUGCUCAUUUUGAAUCAUGUCACUUGUGAUGUGUUUGGCUGAAUCUCGCUUGGUGCAAUUAAAAAGUUGGUAAUGGGCUUUAAAGUCCUUUCUUUCUUGCAUAACAAAGACUAACUUGGCAGGGACUUAGAAAAAUAGACCCAAAAGAAAACGAAGCGAAGUGACUUCGAGAAUUAGGAAUAAAGUAGAAAUUUUUGAACAAAUAUGACUAUUUGAAGAAAAAUGGAAAAGAGACUUAUCUGAAUGAAGCAGUUGGCUCCAAUGAUCAUGACGUGCAUUUCGGAUUGAUCAGCCAAAUCCAUCCAACUAAUCACAUUUUAGUUCAUGCCAUUUCUUCAUACUUCAAACCGGGUUUCCAUAAUUCAAUUUCUCUGUAAAGUCAUGAACCUCAAUCGGCUUGUAGUGCCCCGAGGGCCAGCAAACCUCUCUCAUUUGCUCCUAUUUCAACUUACAGUUGCCUUACAGUGCCCGUAAGAGUUUUCACCAAUAAGACUCUCUCAUUAUGAAUUUUCUCUCAACUCACCAUCGCCCUACGGUGCCCGUGAGGGUUUUCACCAAUAAGACUCUCUCAUUUAUUCAUUUUUCCUUAUGCCCAUGAACAAAGGUGCUACCCAUGAUGUAAAUCAUACCUCUAUCUCACUUGACUUGGCAUCCUAAAAGUUGAUCAGAAGGUCUUUCUUUAGACUGUAGUGUAGGUUUUGGACAGGGUUAGAAAGAAAGGGUGGCAUGAAGGCUCAAAAUAAUUUAAGAUGAAGGGGUUCAAGAUUACAACUUUUGGAAUCAGAUCUUUUUAUAAAACUAAAACUUCUGCCCCAGUUUCUUCGAAUCUGGGGAAUUUUGAAUUUUUAUUUUGAUGGGACCGACCCAUAUAAGGCUGUCUACGUAUCCUUAACAGGAAUCAGGUCGAACGUAGUUCAAACUAGUAAAAGUUGUUUAUUUUUGUUACUUUGCUUUUCUUUUCUUUUUUUUUCUCCUUUCUUUUUCUCUUUUCUUUCUUUUGCUUUUCUCUUCUUCUUCUUCUUUUUUUUAUUUUUCUUUUCUAUUUCCAACUCUACUUCUGAUUCCAAAAGAGGGGUAUGAAAGAAAAUAAAUAAGGCUCAAAAAGGGGUAACAAAUGAUAAAAUUAUUUGGGAUAGCAGAAUAAAAUGCCUUCGUCAUUCCAACUUUGAAACAUGCCUAGUACAAAAUGCGAUUGAAGAUAAGUAAAGAAAUCAUACAUAAUAUCUCUUGGCUGCAUCAGAAUUGAUAGCCAUAUCCACACAUUUACCUUCUAUGUAUGUUAAAUACAAAGCACCAUUGGGCAACACCUUUGUCACAAUGAACGACCCCUGCCAGUUUGGGGCGAACUUGCCUUUAGCUUCAGCCUGAUGUGGAAGAUGCGUUUCAAUACCAGCUGGCCCAAUUCAAAUUUCCGGGGACGCACCUUCUUGUUGUAUGCUCUUGCUAUUCUUUUCUGAUACAAUUGACCACGACAUACUGCUGCCAAUCUUUUUUCAUCAAUCAAACUCAACUGCUCUAGUCGAGUUUUGACCCAUUCAUCAUCAAUUCCAGCUUCAGCAACGAUCCGAAGGGAUGGAAUCUCAACUUCUGCAGGUAUAACUGCCUCAGUUCCAUAUACCAGCAAAUAAGGAGUUGCACCUACUGAAGUACGAAUAGUAGUGCGAUAACCUAGUAAAGCAAAAGUAACUUUUCAUGCCAUUGCCUGGAACCUUGCACCAUCUUACGAAGUAUCUUCUUUACGUUCUUGUUAACAGCCUCAACGGCUCCGUUUGGCUUAGGACGAUAUGGAGUGGAGUUGAUGCAUAAUCUUGAAUUGUUGACAUACCUCUUUCAUCAAAUGAUUGUUGAGGUUAGCAUCAUUGUCUGUGAUGAUUACCUUGGGAAUUCCGAACCGGCAGAUGAUAUUUGAAUGAACAAAAUCUACCACCGCCUUCUUGGUCACGGACUUGAAAGUUACAGCUUUGACCCACUUGGCAAAGUAAUCAAUGGCCACCAGAAUAAACCUAUGCCCAUUUGAUGCUGCCAGCUCAAUUGGUCCAAUGACAUCCAUGCCCCAAGCAACAAAGGGCCAAGGUGCAGACAUUGUGUGUAACUCGGAUGGAGGGGAAUGAAUCAAAUCACCAUGCACCUGGCAUUGAUGACAUUUGCGAACAAAGUUGAUGCAAUCUCGUUCCAUGGUGAGCCAAUAAUAACCUGCUCAAAGAAUCUUCUUUGCCAAGACAUACCCACUCAUAUGCGGUCCGCAAACUUCGGAAUGCACUUCGGCCAUGAUGGUAAAAGCUUGUUUAGCAUCUACGCACCUUAGUAGUCCUAGAUCUGGAGUCCUCUUGUACAAGAUUCCCCCCAUUUAAUAAAAAUCCACUAGCCAGACGUCGAAUGGUUCUCUUUUGAUCACCUAUGGCAUGUACCGGAUAUACCCCCGACUUGAUGUAUUCUUUGACAUCAUGGAACCAAGGCACACCAUCAAGUUCCUCCUCAACCACAUUGUAAUAGGCAUGCUGAUCACGGACUUGGAUAUGCAGAGGGUCGACAUAAGUCUUAUCUGGAUGGUGUAACAUUGAUGCUAGAGUAGCCAAAGCAUCGGCGAUCUCAUUAUGAAUCCUGGGAAUAUGCCUGAAUUCUACUGACCUAAAUCGUUGACAAAGAUCAUGCAGACACUGUCGAUACAGUAUGAGCUUCAAAUCCCGAGUCUCUCAUUCUCCCUGAAUCUGGUGAACCAACAAAUCUGAAUCUCCCAAAACCAAUAUUUCCUGAACUCCCAUGUCUAUAGCUAGUCUCAAACCCAGAAUGCAUGCCUCGUACUCAGCCAUGUUGUUGGUGCAAUAAAAUCAAAGUUGAGCUAUUACGGGGUAGUGAUGCCUUGUUUCAGAAAUGAGUACAACCCCUAUUCGGACGCCUUUCAUGUUAGCAGCUCCAUCAAAGAAGAGUUUCCAACCUGGCUUUUCCUCAUGGUCAACCUCGUCAACAUACAUUACCUCUUCAUUAGGAAAAUAAGUCUUCAAUGGUUCAUACUCUUCAUCCACCGGAUUCUCGGCCAAGUGGUCGGCCAAGGCUUGGGCUUUCAUCGCGGUCCGGGUCACAUAGAUGAUGUCAAAUUCUGUGAGUAAAAUCUGCCACUUUGCAAGUCUUCCUGUGGGCAUAGGCUUCUGAAAGAUAUACUUUAGAGGAUCCAUACAAGAAAUGAGAUAAGUAGUGUAGGAUGACAGAUAAUGCUUUAAUUUUUGUGCUACCCAAGUCAGGGCGCAACACGUCCUUUCAAGAAGAGUAUACUUAACCUCAUAAGGAGUGAACUUUUUGUUGAGAUAAUAAAUGGCUUGCUCUUUCUUGCCUGAGAUGUCGUGUUGACCCAGUGCACAACCAAAAGAAUUAUCCAGGACUGUCAGAUAGAGAAUCAAAGGUCUCCCAUGCUCUGGCGGUACCAGCACAGGUGGGUUUGACAGGUACUUCUUGAUCUUAUCAAAUGCUUCCUGACACUCGUCAGUCCACUUAACCGCAGCAUUUUUCCUCAACAACCUAAAAAUGGGCUCAGAAGUCGUUGUGAGUUGAGCAAUAAACCUGUUGAUGUAGUUUAACCUCCCGAGUAGGCUCAUCACCUCAGUUUUAUUCUUUGGAGGUGGUAAUUCUUAGAUGGCCUUGAUCUUUGACGGGUCCAACUCAAUACCGCGUCGACUGACUAUGAAUCCCAAUAGUUUUUCGGACGGGACACCAAAUGCACAUUUCGCUGGAUUGAGCUUGAGGUUGUACCUACGGAGCCUUUGGAAAAACUUUCUCAAAUCCCCAACAUGGUCGGACUGCUUCUUUGAAUUUAUGAUCACAUCAUCUACAUAAACCUCAAUUUUCUUGUGUAUCAUGUCAUGAAAUAUGGUAGUCAUUGCCCUUAUGUAAGUUGCCCCAGCAUUCUUCAAACCGAAUGGCAUUACCCGGUAGCAAUAUGUCCCCCAUGGCGUGAUGAAUGCUAUCUUUUCUCCGUCUUCUUCAUCCAUCAGGAUCUGGUGAUAUCCUGCAUAGCAAUCCACAAAAGACCCGAUCUCGUGCUUGGCACAAUUGUCAAUCCAAAUGUGGAUGUUUGGUAAUGGAAAGUUAUUCUUUGGACUUGCCUUGUUGAGAUCACGAUAAUCAAUACAUACCCUGGUCUUAUCAUCUUUCUUUGGUACUGGCACAACAUUAGCUAACCAAGUGGGAUAUCGAGUGACCCGAAUGACCUUUGCGUCAAGCUGCAUUGUGAUUUCUUCUUUGAUCUUCACACUCAUGUCAGUCUUGAACUUCAUUAACUUUUGCUUGACUGGAGGGAAUGCCGGAUCAAUUGGCAAUUUAUGAACUACCAAAUCAGUGCUCAAACCCAGCAUGUCGUCAUACGACCAUGCAAAAGUAUCUUUAUAUUCAAAUAGUGCUUUGAUUAUUUCUUCCUUGAUUUGCGGUUUCAGAUGCACACUUAUCUUGGUUUCCCUGAUAUUAUCUUGAUCUCCUAAAUUGAUUGCUUCAGUUUUAUUCAGAUUAGGCUUGGCUUUUUCUUCAAAGUGAUUUAGUUCUCUACUGAUUUCCUGAAAUGCUGCUUCUUCAUCAUAUUCUGUUUCAUCACACUCUACUUCUUGGAUUGUUAUUUUAGAAUUAGAUUGGCUUUUAAGAUUUGGCUGAAAAUUCCUCAUGCAUGUCAUGUCAUUGAAACCAGCAUAAAAAGAAUUGUACAGAAAAAAAAAGAAACAAAAACAAAAAUGAAACGCUAUUAGGAAUAAUGGAAAAACGGAAAAUUGUAUUUCAUUGAAAAUAAAAAGAUAGAAAGGUUUGUACAUCAAAACAAGCAAACAUAAAAAUCUGGAUUACAACCCUGGGAUAAAUAAAAUGACAGAAAGGAAAACAAAGAAAACUACUAAAACUCCUUCCGGGUGGGGAGAGGAGUAGCUUUCCAAUUUCUAAGCUUCACAUUUGGCCCAACAAGCUGCACAUCGGCAUUACUGGAGCCUUCCCCGAUUUCUACCAUAUUAACCUCAUCAAAAAGACUCUGGAAUCUCUUGAUCAGCUCUUCAUCAAAGUCGACCACAGGUUUUGGGACUGCUGAUAUUGGGUGUUUUGCGAUCCCUGGCUUGACAAAAGACUUGGAGAUGUGUGGAACAGGAUUAGGAAGUGACCAUGCCUUUCUGUUCAAAUUUUUAGCCCUUUUCACGUCCUUCCCUGUGAGUGUGAAUCCCAAACCAAAUAUACCGAAACUUUCAUGUGGACACAUCGGAUGUGCAAUACCUUGCAGAGAUGAACCCAGACCUUUGCCUGGCACAAAAUCAUUCUUCAAUAUUUCAUUUGCUACCGUGACGGACGCGGAGGGUAGCUUUGGACCCGUAAUGCAUCCUCCCUCAGGAAUCUUCUCGACAGAUACUGUUUUGAACGUUUGGUAAACCCAUGGCCCUUUAUCAUCUUCAGCUUCAAUAAAUGGAACAGUUGUGUCAUUGUAAGCAGAUAAGUUCUCAUCACCGUGCACAACUAUUUCCUGCCUGUCCCAUUCGAACUUUACCAUUUGAUGCAGAGAAGACGGGAUUGCCUUGGCAGUAUGUAUCCAGGGCCUGCCCAAUAACAAGUUGUAGGAGACAGCCACAUCUAGCACUUGGAACUCCAUAGUGAACUCAACUGGCCCUAUUGACAAUUCGAGCAUUAUAUCACCGACAAAAUCUUUCCCUCCUCCAUCAAAGCCUCGAACACAUAUAUUGUUCAUGUGGAUCCUUUCAGUGUCAAUCUUCAACUUUUGCAAAGUGGACAGAGGGCAAAUAUUUACACUAGAACCGUUAUCGAUCAGUACCCUUGAGACAGCAGAAUCCUCGCACUUCACUGUGAGAUAAAGGGCUCGGUUGUGUUCUGUACCCUCCAUAGGAAGUUCAUCAUCUGAGAAAGUGAUCAUGUUUGCUUAGAAGAUCUUGUUAGCAAUCUUCUCCAGGUGGUUCACCGUGAUCUUAUCAGGAAUAUGGGCCUCAUUCAAAAUCUUCAUCAGGGCUUUGCGGUGUUCAUCUGAAUGUAUCAGCAAAGACAAAAGAGAGAUCUGAGCUGGUGUUUUCCUUAACUGCUCCAUAAUGGAAUAGUCUUGCAUUUUCAUCUCUUUCAAGAACUCUUCAGCCUCUUCUUCGGUGACCGGCUUCUUUACUGAGAUGUGGCCAUCCUUGAAUGGCUUGGAUUUCCUCAGUUCCUCUAGGUAAAACAUCUCCCAGAACGAGUCAGCCCUCCGGUUUCAUUGACUUCUUCCUCUACUUUUUUCCCUUUAUAUGUCACUAUCACUUGUUUGUAAUUCCACAGGACGACCUUUGUGUCAAUCAUUGGUAACUGGGUCACUGGCUUAAUAAUAACGAAGGUAAUACGAGCCCCUUCCACGAUUAUGACAGGCUUGCCCGGGAUCCCUAGCACGACCACUUUUUGCUUUUCCUGUUUCGCUUCACCAUCAAUCGGAGGCCCUUUCACAACCAAUACAGAUGGCUUCACGUUGAGCGUGCUUAGCUUCUCCGACACCCCUUCAAUUGUCAAAGGCAUUUCUUUUGCAUAAUCUGGAUCUUUAACUGGAUUACUUUCGCUAGCUCAGAUCAUCAUGAUAGACUUGGAAGAAUUAUUGGGCUCCCCAUCCUUAUGAACUAUCUCAAUCAUAUGUGUCUCUGUAUGGGCUGGCAAAGGAUUUUGGUUGAUGUUUGGCACCUCCGGGCUCUGGACCACAAUUUAAUUUGUAUCAAUGAGCUCUUGGAUCGCCUCUUCAAAUGCCAACACUUCUCUGUGUCGUGCCCUGGGGCAUCAGAACAAUAUGCGCAUCUGAGGGAACAAUGAAGGUUCCUUGGAGGUGGAUUUGGUAUCUUUGGCUCAAUCGGCCUCAAAACGUCCAAUUGCCUCAACCUUUGAAACAAAUUGGUAUAUGACUCUCCAAGAGGGGUGAAGGUUUCUUUCCGCUGCUGCCUUUCUUUUCUAUAAUCCGGCCUUGGUCGAAAUCUUGGACCAGUUGGGUUUCGGUAUAGUUGUGGGGGUGGAUAAGGAUUUUGUGGAGUUGGAGCACGCCAUUGCGGGUAAGGAGGGGGUUGCGUAUAUGACUGUGCAUGGUAAACAUGGUAUUAGGAUGGUCUGAGUGAAUAUUCAGGGUCUUGUGGUGGGAGAUAAUGUUGGGAUGGAUUAUAUGGAGCUUGGGUGUAGGCUUGGGGUCGAGGUUGGGUGUACUGGUGAGGCGAAUCCGCUGGGCCACGCCAUGAUCCAGAGACAAACAUAGCGACAUCAUCUUUCUUCUUUUUGCCUAACAGGCUUCCGGUGCCACUUUGAAUUGCCUGUGUGGUUGCUUUUAUGGCGGAGUAGCUCAUGAUCUUGAUUUACUUGAGUCCUUCUUCCACCAUUCCUCCCAUCUUUACCACAUCGUUGAAAGACUUACCUAUGGCUGAGAUCAAAUGGCUAAAGUAAGUAGGCUCUAGGGCUUGAAGAAAGUACUCGACCAUCUCUUCUUCUUCCAUUGGAGGAUUGACCCGUGCAGCUUGUUCUCUCCAUCUGAAACCAUAUUCCCUAAAGCUCUCGCUGGGCUUCUUCUCUACCUUGGUCAAAGAUAGGCGAUCCGGGACAAUGUCUAUAUUAUACUGAAAGUGCCGAGCAAAGGCCUGAGCCAAGUCGUCCCAUAUGUACCACCUGCUAGCGUCUUGGCGGGUGUACCAUUCCAAAGUUGCCCCACUCAGACUCCGACUGAAAUAUGCCAUUAAUAAUUCGUCUUUCCUACCAACGCCUCUCAUCUUGCUGCAAAAGCCUCUCAAAUGGGCCAUGGGAUCUCCAUGUCCAUUGUACAGGUCAAACUUGGGCCUCUUGAAGCCAGCGGGCAGUUGGACAUCAAGGAAUAAGCAUAAAUCCUUAUAAGCCACACUUACUUGGCUUCCUAUCCCUUGCAUGUUAUUCAAAGAUUGCUCUAAACUCUUCACUUUCCUGAAUAUCUCAUCUUGCUCCACGUUACGGGAUUAUUUCUCAGUUUCAACAGGAGGUUCAAAGUGAGGGGUGUAGGGAUAAGGAUCUGUGACUUUAAAAGUUGGUAUCUGGAGCUUGGAACGUAGGUUCACUAGAAGAUCGGUGGAGGGUAGCUUGCGGAGGAGCUACAAAAACAGGAGCAGAUGUCGGGGCAGGGUAUGCAGUUGUUUUGGCUGGUGGAGCGUGGAAAGUUUGGGACGAGGCGUCGGGGUAGUGGUGGUAAGGGGUAAAGCCCGGUGCAUGCUGAGGGGAAAGAUCAACGGUAAUGGGAUCCUGGGCUUGUGACAGUGGUGGGAUGAAAGCGGGAUUUUCUAUGUAGUUAGCGGGGAAUGAAGGUGGAGGAUGCCCCCUGAUCCAUGCUUGAUACAUUUCUGCCAUUUGAUGCUUCAACCUGUGGACCUCUUCUUUCAGUCCAGAUUCGGAUUCUACCAUCUCCCUCGGUGGGUCAACAACUCCCGUAUCUGUUUCUUUGCUGGCCAUGACUUCCUUGCGCUUUGAUCUAGUGUUAUAGGGGUGACUUGCCAGGAUGCCAACAAACUAACCACCUAAAUAGAACCUGUCUUAACAAUGCACACACAAUAACUUGGUCAAUUUUGAAGCAUUUAACAGACAGGGAAUCGCAUAUUGGGGAUGCGAUGCACCUGAGCAGUUAAACGUUUCUAAAUGCUUUGCGACGGCUUAUGUGUUUCAUCCCGGCUCUUUUCCCAAAUUCAAAUCCUGAUUUUCUUGUGCCGUGUUUCACUCUUUUAGUUCUCAUUCUCUCUUUUUUCCUUUUGUUUGGCCCUUUUUUUCUUUCUUCUAUCCUUUUUUCUUUUCCUCUCUUUUUUUCUUCUCUUUUCUUUUAUUUUAAGACUAUGAUCGAAUCAUAUGGAGAUUGCCUACGUAUCAUGAUGCCGCAAGAAUCAGAUCAUUACGUAGUUCAAGGAUAUAAAUACGAAAUGAAAGAAAAUCUUUUGGGUUUUCAAUACUUCAUUAAUAAAGUCACGUCAUCUUUUUUUGUUUUCUAUUACAAGGACUUAAAAGUACUGACGACUACAAAAGAAAACAUACAGACUCGAAAUAAACAGCUUUGAACAAAACUCUAGAAAGCAGUAAAGUACAGACUCGAAAAACUGAAAAGUCAAAAGUACAUGAGAGCCUCCACUAGUACUCUGGGAGCCUGCGAGACAUCAGCUGGUCUUUGCGCGGGCCUUCGCGCAAUGUCUUCUUUAAGGCCGUUUAAGUCAUCUAUUACCUGGUGGACGAAGGUCAUCAUAAAAGCAAAAAAAAUGGACCUAGUCAUGUCUUCACACUCGUGACAUUUCAUCACGACAUAGUGAGCUAUCUCCUUAAUUCUGGUUCUGAUAACUCCUUUUUCUUGAAGCAGACGCCCAAUUUGCUGUGCCCGGGCUUCCAACACUUGUGUGCUGGUAUUGUUUUGGUCCUGUAGUUGUUGCACACUUUCUUCUAGUCGGCCAAUUAGUGCGUAGCAGUGCUCCUUUUCUGUCUGAAAAUCUUUGAUUUGCUGGAUCAUUUCAUUCUCAAGGGCAAACAGCUUUUCCUUUAGAACUGUUAUUUCUUUGCCAUAUUUUUGUCUCAAAUGGUGGGCUUGUUCUUCUGCUCCUUUGGCCAACAUUGUUUGAGCAUUUAGCAAAUUCUUUUCGGCCUUUAUCAAGUCAGUUGCAUAGUCGUGUACCUACAUUCUUAUGUUACUGAUGAUUUUUUCAUAUCUUUCGAUCCUUACAGGCGUUUCGGCGGCUAUCCUCAUGUCCCGGAGUUGGGCUCGGAGAGCCUCGUUCUCUCGGGUCAAUUUUCUCUUUUCACCUUCGGUUACCUGUGCCUGUAAGUCAUUCUCAAAUGCGAGGUUCCUCAACUUUUCCUCUAAGGCGUGAAUGGUGGCUUGAUAUUUCUUUUCCUUUUCUCCCCAGGCCAAAUGCUCUCGGACUUUGUCAUCAAAAGCCUGAAUAUGAGGCCUUUUGGCGGGCCUUUCAGGCUCGGGCUCUGGUUCAUCAUUAAUGCAGUUUCUUCUUUCGAACCAUGUGGCAUAGCCUGGAUCUACUUCUCCUCUUGCAAGAUCGGGCACUUGGGUGUCCUCUUUUAAGUAUCGACAACCAUUCCAGAUUUGUUGGAUUAAAGCCUCGGAAAGUGGGGCUUCGGGGUAUAGCUCAAUAACUUGGACACUCAAAUCUUCAUCCUCAGGCACCACUUGAUAUCUUCCCAAUUGUCUUAGAACCCUUUGCGGUGCAUAUGGUUGGACACUUCUCAAGCCCAUCAAUAGCAAAUCGUUCUUUGUGGUUGUCAUGUGUAUGACUUCCCUCACUUGGAGCCAUCCUAAAGUCCACUCAAUUCGAUUCGCCUUUAAAGUUCUCAAGUGGGCGAUCCAAGAUUCAACCCCUUCUGGAGAGUUGUAAUCUUUUACCCUCUCCUCAUAACUCUCAAUGAAGUUGCUCUUGCUUGGGCUGUAGCUUAUAAAUUUUUGAUGAAGGCGAAGAUGUUCAAUUAACCACAUUUGUAGAAGGAUAUUACAACCUUCAAAGAACGUCGCCCCAGACUUACACCGUGUUAAUGCCCGAUAGAUAUCCGACAAUAUAAGUGGAGCAAGUGUGUGAUCUUCUUUGGCAGUUAUGACUUGUGCAAUUCUAGCCAUACGGAUAUCAAUCGUCCCUUUUUCAUUUGGGAAGACUAUGAUGCCCAGGAAUGCCACUAUGAAAGCAAAGUGACGAUGAAUUUUCCAAGUAUCUUUACUUUGCUUGUUGUUCAACCCCUUUUCAUGCGUUUCAAACCCAUUUGGAUGUCUAUACCUGGAGUACAGGAAGUAGAAAGAGCAACAUCCAUUGUUUAUAUUGUUCUUCCUUAUUUGUUUACUGAUGUUCAAAAUAUCAAAGAACCGGCGCACAGAGGGAGGCCUUGGGAAUAUAAGUUGCUAUUUUCUCAAGUUCCGGCCGAAACCAGUAUAUCCGGCUAUUUCCUCUAGGGUGGGAGUGAGCUUAAAGUCUGAGAAGCGGAAGACAUUGUGAACGGGAUCUCAGAAGGGCACUAAAGUCUUGAUCAGAUCAUUCCGGGGCUUGACCUUCAUAAUAUCCGUAAGAGCACCCAAAUGUUCUACUACCCAGUCUUGACCAUCUUUACCCAAGUCAUACCACCACAUUUGAAGCUAUAGUGGAGCCUGCUCUACAAUAUUUCACGGCGGGUUCUAGACAGUGUUCAUUUUGUACGUGUGAAUGGUUAGGGUUAGGGUUGACUCUAGUUCGGAAGACAGACCAGCAGACUCUUUUGCAAAAACCAGUUUUCAAUUUUGUUUCAAAGGGAAAUCACCUGAAGGUGACUAUUUGUGCGGCGUUGGCCAAAAUGGUCAUCUUUGCAAUAAUGGCCCCUUCCCACUUUCAAAUAAAGUUUUGAGGCCGAGGUAAGACACUUUAUGGGAAAAGUGAUGCCUUAUUGACAGACAUGUCCGUUCUUGACGAGACUAGCCAUUUGAUAAUUUAAAGGUAUUCUAUGGCUAUUCUGGCAAAAACGGCGCAGGACUUAAUCGAAGCUGGGUCGGUUUUAUUUUCUAACCAAUGGACAUACUUUAUUUAUUUGAUUGGAAAAAUUGGGGUCGGUACCGAUGAGAUUUGCUUACGUAUCUCACAUCCGGUGAGAAUCAGACUCGUGUAGUUCGGUCAGUUUUGACAUAAUUGGAAGAGCAUGAUAUUGAUUUACUUUCAUUUUUGAAAUGCAUUUUUUUUCUUUUUUUUCAAAACUUUUGGCAGAGUUUCGAGGCAUUUUCAAAUACCAGGGUUUUCAGAACCGGGUGAAUUUUCUAUCCUACCUCACUCUUGUUUUUUCUUUUAUUUUCUUAACCGAUCAACAAAUAAGCCGAAAUAAAUUCACACAUAGCAGGUAAGAUGCAUCAGGAUGGUCUUUAUUUCGGGUAUACUUGUCCUAGACGGACCCAACCCCUAUGUUGAGUCCCCUAAAUCAAACGCACGUGAUGCAAACAAACGUUCCUACUAGGGAUCUGGCAUAAGGUUAUGUUAUUCUAGGUUUAAACCUGGGGGUGUGUUCUAGACAUGGCUUACCCAAGCGGGACAACUUGAGCCGUGGUGGGAGCGACGUACCGGGAGCACGAAAGUCUACCCGGCCUAAUGGCUGAUCCAUCCUCGUUUUAUUUGGUAUGACCUCUAACAGAAAAGUGGGCCAUACAUACGUGUGCACCAUAUUUUUAGAAGACUCGGAAGGGAGGCGUAAGAAAAUAAUUUAAUAUAGUUCAAAUAAUAUCAAAGCGGUAAAUGAGCGGCAAUUAGCACAUUAGACCCACAAAUACAGUAAUAACGAUCAAUAAAGCCAAGUAAAAAUCACAACAACAAGCUCGAAUUCUUGAACCCUGAACCAGAGAUUCUGGGUUCGAUCCCCAACAGAGUCGCCAGAACUGUCACACCUCAUUUUUCCCGAGGGGGAUAGAGAGUUUUUCCAAUUAAAGUGACAUUAUUCAAAAUCGUAUUAUUUAAUUAUUUCAGAGUCGCCACUUGGGAUAAUUUAUGGUGUCCCAAGUCACCAGUUUAUUUUAAAUCCCAAAUCGAGGAAAUUUGACUCUGUUUAACGUCUGCGAAAAUCAAAAGACCGGGUAAGGAAUUCUGUUAACCCGGGAGAAGGUAUUAGGCACUCCCGAAUUCCGUGGUUUUAGCAAGGUUGCUUUAAUCAUACAUGGAUUAAUUAAAUUGUUUAAUUACGUGUUUUAGAACCUAUGUGCGUUUUACCUUUUACCGCUUUUAAAUUACUUUAUUAUGGCAUUAUGGAAUUAUCUUGAAAAUGAACCACGUGUGUGUGAAUCUGUUUGUUUGGUGUGCCAAAAAUCAUGUCACGCGUACGUGUACACAAUUAAUAACAAUUUAUUAAAAUUGUUCGGCCAAAGUCGCGCGAACGCGUACUUUGAUUUAUUUGGGAAAAUUAUAAUCAUGUAACGCGAACGUGUACACAAUUACGAUAAUAGAUUAAAUGUGUGCCUAAAAGCAUUUCUACAGGUGUUCAUGAAUUAAUUAUUUUUCUAGGAUUUGAGAUUAAUGUGAGGCCAUGAAUCAUGUAUAAGAGUGUGGAAGAAGCGUACAUUUCAACUAAUGAGAGCUAGAAGAAUUAAUUAAAUCUAAGUUGUUGGAAUUGUCUGAUGAUUGAUAGACAUUCACCUUUAAAAGGAAAAUGGGUCAUCCUAUGAACAAAUAAUUGACGCUGAAUCAAUUAUUGAUAGAGUGUCAAACAGACUUGAAUUUCGGCUCAGGUCCAGUUUUAUAAAGUACCUCAUAAUCCCAAUUAUUUCCCCAUUACUACGGUGGCCCAGACUUAUUUGUGUGGCAAUAAUUGCAGAGAAUUAAUCAGACACUUUACCAAGUCAAUUUAUAACACCAAGUCAGCUAAGUUCAUAUCCCAAAACGUAAUAAGCUACAUUUGAAGAAGAAAAGCACUAGUACAAUGGUUCCAAUUAUAUAAAUAAUUUCCUAAUGAAUUACUCAUGCCAUUAAGCUCUUGUGAUUCAAAUUUCAGUCUACUUUGUCUUAAAGUUUACUGCUCAAACAACUGCUUUUAACAUUCAAACGAAUUCAAAAUUGUGACUGAAAAUCUGUACAUAUACGCCUCAAACAGAUCUUUCACCAAGUGCUACAUUCACUAAAUCUCCGUUGGUCUCUAUUACCAAUGAUAGAAAAAUAAAACAACAUGCUUAAACAUUCAUAAUACAAAUUUGAACCAUUUUAUCAAACCAAUACUCAAGAAUUAAAGUUGAACUACCCAUAUAAAGGGAACUUCAAAUUUCAACUAAAUGGAUUUUCAACUAAAUUAUAACUAUAACAAGAAAUAAAAUUACAUAGUCCUGACUGAUUGAGUUUACUACACUUGAUGAAAUGCUAUAAUAACUGUAACCUUCGAUUUCAUCCACAACGCUUGUCAAUUUGACGAACAAUAGCUUACAACAUUUCAAAAUGGCUUGAUUUGGGUUUGAGACUCACAGAUCUGGCCUAUUGAUGGCCAGACCCAUAAGUUGAAGCCAUGACAUAACAUUAUCAGUCCUUCACAAAUAGCUUGACAUGUUGUCUUAACAAACCAUUAGGAAGUCUAUAGAUUAGAAUUCAUGAUCAACAAAUUAUGAUGUGGAGAUGCCAAUAAUAGAAACUAAUAGUAAUACAUGUGCUUAAGGACAUUCAUAACAGCAGCAGACAGGUAAGAGGUGAGCGAAUGUCAAUUCAAGCCAUUCAAACACUUAGAACAUUUCACAAGAAGAUAUAUAACAUCAUGUAAGUACAACGACCAUAUGAAUUUCACAGAUUUCAAGCUCAAAUUGAUUGUGCUAAGCUCAGAAUCAUACAAAGUUAUCAAUGUGUACCUUAAAGCAGCAAAAGUAAGUAGAAGAGAAAAUAAGUCUCUGAAAUUCUGAGAAGAAACAGCAGCAAGAACACAAAGCAGAAAAACCAAAACCACAGCAGCCUCAAACUCAAACCAUGAAUCCCAGCAAAAGAACAGUGGCAAAUGAAAAGAAACACAGCCUGAAUUUUUUUCUUUUGUUUUCUAGCUUUGAACUUAAAAAGGAGAUCAGAUUGGAAAAUGAGGAGAAAGAGUCUUGGAAUAUUUUUUCAGGGCUCUCUUACGCGUCCGAAAAUUCCUGUUUUAGAAUGCAGAAUGAGUCCUAUUAUAUAGGCUAUGUGUGUGUAAUCAGAGAGAAUGAGAGAGAGUCCCAAAAAAAAAAUAGAAUCUGUCAGGCCCUCCCUAAAAUUUAGGAAAAUAGCAUCUUUCAAAACUGAAUUUGGACAGCUGUCCUUGUUUCUAGAUGGUUCUUUUUAUUUCUUACCCUUUAACUUCUGAAAAUUAUUUCUUGUGACACCAACUUGAAAUUAACUCUGAUUUUUUUAAAAAUGCAUUUUAGUCCCUUCUAGAGACUUCCCCAACAAACAAAUCAGAUUCCCUAAUUUUCCAAAUCCCUUUGACCCCUUUAACUCCUAUUAAUUACACAUGAGCCAUAGUAGAAAGAAAUCAUGUAAAUCAGUCCCAAUAAACAAAGAAGCAAAAUUAAUCUAAUUAAUUCAAUAAUUAAAACUAACUAGCAUGCAAUUGAGCUGUUAAAAUCACAUAAACCCUUAAAACAAAACAGACAUGUUGCGCCUUAAAACAAAUAGCCAAAAUGUUAAUUUACUGUUAAUUAACUAAUUACUAAGCUAAACUAAUUAAACUGAGAUAAACGUUCAUCAAACAAGUUCUGAUUAAAUACCUAAAACACAUUGUUCUUCUCUCUCUUUUUUUUUUUUAAUCUUUCUUAAAGCAAACAAAAUAACAAAACAAGAUAAAGAGGGCAAGGAUGUACCUAGUAAAGAAAAACAAAACUACCCAUCUUGAAGCGAAACAAGAGGCUCGUCCGGAUUCCGAUGAUUCCGUAAUGAACUAAAGCUUACAUUAAUUAAUUGUUCUUGACAAGAACAAAUAAUUAAUGUUAGUUUCAACUCAAAACAGCUUGAACUUGAUGAAGGAAUCAGAAAGAACGAAAUUAGGUUUUCUGGCCGUUUUCAGAUCUAAAAUUCGAGGAUUUUGAGUGGUGUUUUAGGAAAAUUGAAGGUAGAUUUGGAUUGAGGAUGAGGUGAGGAGUGUGGGGUGUGAAUUUGGGCGGAUUUGGAGGUCGUUUGGUGGUGCCAGAAUGGCGACCGCCGGUGGAGGUUUGUGGGAGUUUGGGGGCGGCUAGGGUUAGGCUGAGUAAGAGAGAUGGAGAAGUGAGAGGGACCUAUGGGGUUUUGGGGGGGUGGAGGAGGGGUCUCCGAUAUAUAUAGGGGAUUGGAGAGUGGAGUUGUGGGUCGUUCGAUCAAAGGAAAUCAACGGCUAAGAUCGUCGUUACUAAAACGACGCCGUUUUGGUUAAGUGAGGAAUCUGGACCGGAUUGGGUGGGCGUUGGACCUGGGCCGCGUUGAUUUGAGGGAUCUUAGCAAUUGGGCUUCCUCGAGAAUGGCCCAAUACAAAUGCAACCCCUUUUCUUUCUUUGUUUUUCUCUUUCUUUUCCUUUAAUUUAAAGUUUUAUUCAAAUUAAUUAAAACCUAAUGUGCAAUUAAAUUUAAGAUGUUAUGCAAUGAAUAUUUUAUAUAUUUUUGGUAUUUUUUAUAAUUUUAAAUAUUAAAUAAGUGACCAAAAGCAGACAAAAAAUCCUAAAAUUCAAUAAAAACGAAAAAUAAUUUAGAAAGAUCUAUUUUUGAACUUUGUAGAAGUAAUUUUAGUCGGGCAAAAAUCAUGUGCUCACGAGAAAAAGUAAGGAAGAUGUGUAGCCAGCAAUGGCAACUCAGUGUCUAGCAAAGUAGGGUUGUUGACAUAAUCAACUUCCAUAGUUGGUAUAAAUUCGUGAAGUAACUUGGUGAGUAAAGGGUUUGUGGAGUCAUUAUCAAAGAAACGAUCUCUGAUCAUAAUAGAAAAGGCCAAUGCUUUAAGCUAAGUAGUACUUGAUUUUGGAUAACUGCAAAGGAAAAUAUCAGAGGGUUGAGCUUCGAAAAUCUCUGGCAAAAGUACAAUUCCUUCUAGGAAGAUAAAAGGGAACCAAAAGCCUUGGUAUUGGCAGAGUUCAUAAGGAGGAUAGGGAGUUUCACGCUUGGGGAGGGCUGAUAUUAUCUCUUUGUAUUUCAAGCUCAUUUCCUUAGAAUUUUCACCAUUGGCACAUAAGCAUUUAGUUUUUGAAGGGGAAGAUGACUUCAUUUUCUGGAAAGGGUGAAAUGGAAGAAUCUCAAGUUGGAUCCUGAUAGUUAAAUUAGGAGACAACUUCUCCAUUUAUAUAGAAGAAGAAUUUGGGUAAAUUGCAAAUAAGUCCUUUUAUGGAACAAAAGUAACAAUACAACGCAAACGUGAAUUGUUAAUGUAAAGUAGACACUGAACUUAUAAGUAUUGGUAAGUUGCAUUGUGAACAUUAAAUCGAAUUCGUGAACCAAAUAUCUUUUAGACUGUUUCAGUCCACCCAUCAACCCAUCAGUAAUUUGUUACAACUUACAUAAUCCACGAGAUGAGUAAUUUACAGCCGAAAUUCAAAGCAAUGUGCCCCGACCCGCUCCUUUUAUUUGUUUGUGCCUCUUUAAAAUAUUAAUUAAAAAGAUAAUUAAUUAAAUUGUCCUAAUUUUAUCUUUUAUCUCAUUUUAUUAAGACUCUUGCUUGAUAAAAUUAACGUCUCUUCAUAUUUACUAGAGUAAGUCCUGAUUUUGUAAAAGACAAAUAUUUUUGACUAAUUAUUUUCAAUAACCAUGACAAAUUAAUUGUUUCUCAGAGGAAGUAAUUAAUUGUUUCUCAUUCCCAUUAAAUAUAUUGGUGAUCGUUGUUUCCCAAAUCCCAAUACCAUCAAUUAAUGUUUCUCCUUGGGAUUUGGAUUAUAUUCAGAGUAUUUUGUCUUUAUCAAUUAAGUACUGCUCCAGGUGCGCUUUCUCAGUCUCCCAGAUGCAUAUUAAUGUUGUUGAUAUUCAUUGCUUGGCUUUGUUCGAAGUUGGAAAGAUCCCUUGUGUCAAUAAUAAAUACAGUAAUUAAGACGGAAUAGGUUCCAUUUGUUGAUAGCUUUGUUUCACGAGGUACAACAAUGUUAGGAGGUGGGAGGAAAACAAAAGUAUACACUUUAUUGCAGGAGAUUACCUGGUGAUGUUUCGUAGUCGUCCGAAGUUGAGGUGGAUCAUGAGACCAGCCCAAAAUGGUCUCCAUUCCUCAGUCGACUACUUUGUUUAUGUCUAUAUGUCUAGGUGGUGAAUUGAAGAACAUUGGCGAUUACCUUUUUACUAGGGAUACUAAAUUUUGAUUUCUCAGAAACGACUUAUCUUUUGUUAUAUGACGAUGGAAAUUGCAUUUAAGAAGACAAGUGACUUAUGAUUUUUCAUUUUUUUCCGUUAUUUAGGGGCGGAUGCAUGUUCCAGUGAUACCGCUUCGUUGAAUUUUGUUUAUUUGUUAGACAUAUAAAGAAUGUGCAAAAUGAUGUACUAUGACAUAAUUGAAUGAACGAUGUUGCCUGGUUUGAUGGUUUAACACCAUAAUAAAGGUAAUAAUGAAUAACUCAACUUCUAAAAAGUAAUUAGAAUUAGAACCAUAAUUUUGAAAAAGUUUUCCUCCUCUAUAAUUUGCAAUUUUUAGGUGUGUGGGUUUGUUGGUAUUGCUCUUCCCUAUUUCUCAUCUCCCAUUUUGGUGUAGUAAUUUGUUUACUUCUUUAACUCCUUACAAAAAGUUAUGCAUACGUCCCUGCUGCGUGAUUUAUCCUUUUCCAUUGGCCUCUCUAUCUUUUUGGCUUCAAACCAAACAAGAGGAUAUUGAGGUUUUCCCCUGAUAUAACAGGCAUGUAUCUUUUACCCGUACUUUUAUAUUUUUAAAUGCAAAAUUUGGCACAGAAACCAGUUUUUAGACUAUAGUGAUAAAGUGACUAAAGAUGGUUGUUUCCACAGUGACCAACUGGAAUCUAAGCUUAAAAUUAGGGAAUUUACCAUUUAAUUAGGGAAUGGACUUAGAAAACAGACAAACCGAGUGUAAUUAGGAAAUUUUCUUUUUACAGUUACUGGUUAUUUUCUGCACUGUAAUUUGGGUCCUUUCCGAGUACAGCAUUUCUCAAGUUACACGUUUUUAUGUGGAAUUGUUUAGAUAAGAGUGGGUUGCUCUAGUGGUGAGCACCCUCCACUUCUAACUAAGAGGUUGUGAGUUCGAGUCACCCAAGAGCAAGGUGGGAAGUUCUUGGAGGAAGGGAGCCGAGGGUCUAUCGAAAACAGGGAUUAUACUAUGUUGUUGUUGUUGUUGGGGUGGACUGUGGUCUUCAUCCCCUAGUUGACUACUACAUAUAGCAUGUACGAAAUAUAUUUUCUUUGUUGGAAGAACCUUGGCAAUUAUUACAUAUUUACUAGAACUGAUUUCUCUUUGUGAAAUCAAAUAGUUCAAGUGUCAAUGUUUACCAUGUUUCUUGCUUACAUGUUGGAAGGACAUUGAAAAUGAAGAUUUGUAUGAACAUCUAAUCGAACAUCUCAAGUUCUCAACAAAGAUUGGAUGGGAUUAAAUGAAAAUUUAUACUAUUACUUAGUUAUCAUGUGGCAUAUUCUAAUACAAUCGUAUAUGCAUUCAUCUUCUAUAACUAGGACAAGUGUUUACCCGAAAAAUGGACAGAGUUAAAUUUAUACGUAGUUUUAAGGGUAUGUGGUAUAACUUGACACAAAUCGUAAGAAUGAAUAGAAAUAUCGAGUGUUGACUGUAGAGAAUGAAAAAUAAGUAAAGCUGAGAAGAAGAAGAUUUAUAGAUUAAGCAAGAUGAAUCAAUUUAUGAAUCUAAAGAAAAGGAUAACUCUUCAAUAUAGGAAUGUAUGAUAUCUGAGUUACCAUGUAUACAAAAACUUGCCAUUUACAGAAAUAUAGCCAUCCUCUUUAUAGUGGAGGAUCUUAUUUUAGAUAUGAUUAAAAAUACAUAGUGGGGAACCCAUGAUAAAUUAGCUUUUUCCUAAUUCCCGCUGAGAUUCUCUCCCUUAGUGCGGUUGCAACGGCUCUUAUUUGUGAGCUCAAGUUUGAUCGGACUAGGUAUUGGUUGGUAUCAUUUUUAGAGCUCGAUGCAGAUUUGAGCUCGACACCGACUCGGGGUCCGGUAAUGGCUCGGUAUCGGUUGGCCUUUGCCCCUUAAGCUUGAUUCCAUAACAUCUCAUCAUAGUUUGAUUCGGACCCGAGCUCGAUAAUGACUUCGAACUUGGUGUUUGACAUGUACCUGAAAUCUGAAGCUCGUUCGUGCCAUCUUCGGAACUCGUCUCAACAUUACGAAGUCUUCCUUUGGUCUAUUAUGUUCUCAUCUCGAUCAAUCGUAUGAAAGCCGAAAUUAAUUUCGACCGUAUAUAGAUAGUCCCCUCGUUUCUCGAGAAGGAUAUGACGAGAAACGAUAUGAUUUCUCAAUAGCUCGAUUGAAUAUGCACUGACGUUUGCAUCGAGCCCGACCAUGACGUACGUGAUAGAUGUCCCGUCGGUUUUAUUUAUCAAGGCAUUUAAUGCGUGUCAGACGGUGGUCAGCCACCGCUGAUAUUGAAUCGCCAUUGCUUCAAUCUAUAAAUAGCCCUUCCUUUUACCAUUUAUCACUUUUACAUCUUCAAUCUUCCAAAUUUCCCAAGUUGUUUUUCGUAUCUUCUGAGUUCAUUCGAAAAUCUGUAAUUCUUCUCUGCAAAAUCCUUCUUCAAAACUACCAAAUCUUUGUCACCUUCUUCUAUUCUCGAUCUUUAAAUUCAAAAAUGGCGACAACAUCACAAACCAUUCCUCAGAAAGAGAAAGUUUCUUCUUCACAGCCUGUCGCCGACAAAACACCGGUGGAUCCACAGCUUGAGGAGUGUGUUCUUGUGGCGUGUGUUCUUACCUCCGAUUUUAAGGUCGACAAAGGCUCUUCGGUUCCGGGCCGAUGUGAGCCGGUAUCGAGGUAUUUGUGUUCGAUAACCGGAGAAUAUCUCGAACAGAUAAAAAAAUAUUGUAACUGGGGGAAUAAAGAAGUGGUAGUCCCUUCUCCCGAAGAGGAUAUUACUACUCAUGUGGAAGGGUUUUUAAGUGUGUACACUUACCCUUUCACGUUAGGCUCUCUCGAUCCCGUUAUCAUAGAUUUUUGCCGUAAAUACCAAAUAACCUUAGGCCAAAUCAUCCUUAUUUUUGGCGGAUCGUUAUUCUGAUCUGUUUCUUUGUGAGCAAAAUCUAGGGGAUGUCUUUCACCCUCGACCACCUCAUUAGAUUGUACUGCUCCCGCCUCUUUCGAGGCGGGUUAAUAAAACUACAGCGUCAGGCUACCAAGGUUCUAUUCUAGAGCAUAGAUGAGGACAUCGAGGCUGGAUGGGAAGGUUCGUUCGAGUGAAGAUGUCGAACCUAAUACCGGCCGAGAAGAUGCCAUUUUCAGAAGAAUGGAACAUGAAGCGUAAGUGUAACUCGGUUGUUAUCUCCCAUUGUUUUUCCCCUUCGUUUCCUUUCUUAAUGAUAUCCCUUUUUGUGGUGUAGCGGUUCCUUGGAUGCCCGGUGCGGUUCCCGACCUCAAGGACUAGGUACGGACCCUGGCUUCGACUUCUACGUACGUCGAGCGCUCAUGGAGCGAUUUGUCAAAGGGCCGAUGAGAGGCCAAAAAUCAUGGUAAUCUGCUUUCUCGCACCAUUGAUAGUUCGAACUGUUUUCCGUACACUCAAAUCAAUUUUCUUGUAUGCAGAUUUGGGCAAGGAUGCGAUUUUGAAACCUUUGUCCGGCAAAGAGGAAACUUCAGCCCCGGUUUCUAAACCGGCGAAGGAUAAUAAGAGAAAUAGGGCCUCUACUUCCGAAAACCCAAAACCGAAAGCUCGUAAGUCGAGGAAGAAUGCCAUCCCUCUAACCUUAGAAUCAAUUCAGCGUCUGAGGGAUGAAGACGAGGAAGAAGAAAAGGACAACGGGUUCGAACUGGUGGUCCGAGUGAAGAAAACCAUCGAUGCCUCAUAGGUAGUUGGAUCGAUGGUGGUUUACAAAGCUCUGCCUCGAACUGAGGGUACAUCGGAGAAAGAUUCGGGCAAAGUCCCCGAGCUAUUGAGGAUCGAGUAUAUCUCCCAUCGAAGUCAAUAGGUGGUGGAUAUGUCUGAAGGGCCCGUCCCUAACUCUCUUCGAACCGAAAAGAAUGCCCCAUCGAAGUCAAUAGGGGCAGUAGAAAGACUCGCCCACUUUCCCUGCUUUUUCCAAAGGGGCGAUUCGGGAAGCCCAAGCUUUAGGGGCCCUCGAGAUGAACCGAUGUCAUGAAGGGGAGGAUCC
rnacentral:lncRNA from 1 species